rfam:Flavobacteriaceae bacterium TMED145 78595, whole genome shotgun sequence.
UUUGANACGGCAAGUCCUACACAACUAGCUCCUGAUUAAUCCUCCAGGGUGGGAACACAGCAAAGGUAUUCGGUUGUAGCAGUGUGAUGUAGAUAGCUUGCCAUUUU